rnacentral:rRNA from 1 species
GUGCUCGCUUUUCUUUCAAUUUUCAUCCACCUGUGCACUUUUUGUAGAGUUUUAGCUUGAGAAAUUGGGUCUCUAGGGGCUCGAAAGUAUUGGGCUCUGACUCUAUGUCUUUAUAAACUCUGAACGUAUGUCUUUGAAUGUCUUUUAUAAGGGGCUUAAUUGAACCUUUUAAAAAACUAUACAACUUUCAGCAACGGAUCUCUUGGCUCUCGCAUCGAUGAAGAACGCAGCGAAAUGCGAUAAGUAAUGUGAAUUGCAGAAUUCAGUGAAUCAUCGAAUCUUUGAACGCACCUUGCGCCUCUUGGUAUUCCGAGAGGCAUGCCUGUUUGAGUGUCAUUAAAUUCUCAACUUCAAAAGCUUUAUUGAUUUUGAAGCUUGGAUGUGGAGGCUUUGCCGGCUCUAUCAGAGUCAGCUCCUCUUAAAUGCAUUAGUGGAAACUGUUUGUAGUCUCCCACAUUAGUGUGAUAAUUAUCAGCGCUAUUGUGUCUACAAGCUCUCUGUAGUGUUCGAUUGGGAAGUUGCAUGAAUGGGCUCUUUCUGUUCUACUUGACCUACGGCUGAGUAUAGUAUCUGCUUCAAACUGUCCUAAGUCGCUGGACAACAUUUGACUAUUUUGACCUCAAAUCAGGUAGGACUACCCGCUGAACUUAAGCAUAUCAAUAAGCGGAGGAAAAGAAACUAACAAGGAUUCCCCUAGUAACUGCGA